AAUCAAAAAAACUUAGCUUAAAGUACUCAGCACUAAGUGAGUGGAAGUCUCAAGAUUAGUUAGGUAUCCUGUUUCGCUUCCACUUUAGUGAUUUGGGAUCGGGCAGAGAGAAAGUACAAGAGAGGAACCUAAAGAGUCAUGAACGAGGGAGAGAAACCCGUGCAUUGGAACAAUGGACUCGCCUACGGACUGACUUUUGGCACCUGAUGACCAGUCACUGUGUUCUUCCCUGGAGAGGAUCAACCCACUCGUUUCCAGGUGUUUAGUGUUUCAUAUGAUGCUUUGUAUAGUGAUGAGGCCUCAUGGGCUUUCCCCUGCUCAUUUGACAUGUCCACUGGUGUCUUCUUGCUUUGGGAAGCCAACUAUUAAAUUUUUGUACAACUUUUGUUAAAAAAAAUGCUAUUUUGUAUACAUUUAAAAAAUACUUCAUGAUUAAAAAACAUUGACUGAGCCACAAUAA